rnacentral:lncRNA from 1 species
GGCGGCAGGAAGAGAAGCGGAGCUGGCGCUGGCUGAUCCCAUUUGCUGCGGCGCCUACAGUCACUUCCAUCCGGAGACUCGGCUCGGCCGGGAACGCUCUGCGUUCGCCUUCUCCUUGGCUCGUCCUUCUAAAAGGCUCCGAGUUCCCUCCCUUCCCUCUCGCACCGCGGCCGGCCUCUUUCCGGGCGCCCGAGGCCAGCUCAACAUUCUCUCCAGAACCCCGGCCUCGGCAUCCGGACGCGUCCUACUAGACGGCCCGUCCGGCCCACACGCAGCCUCGCCGGUCUCCCUGCCCCGGGCCCGUGCUCGCUGCCCCCAGCCUGGCCCGCGAAGCCCUUACCCGCCAGCGGCAGGAUGUGUCGCGCUCCCUGCGGACAUGGCGGCCUGCUCCAGUCAACCACCCGCCAACUACCCACCACCGCCCUCCCGCCACUUCCGCCCAACGCGCUGACGCACGGCCUUUUCCGGCCGUGAGGUAAGGCGGGUCCGGUGAGGACUCUUGAUUCCGAUUGGACCCUCGGUGAUUUAAAGCGUCUGGCGUCUCAGUGACAGGAGUGCCUGCCUGUCGACUCUCCGGCUUGCUCUCUUGCCCUUAAUAAAAAUGGUUGUUGGGCCUGGUUUAAAAGCGAGUUGCGGGCUAGGAGAAUCCAUUUUUAUUGUGGGCAAGCGAGUUGCCUGGAAGACAAGUCAGAAAAUGAAGCCGACUUUCUCCGCGUUCUCUUUGCUCACGUGGAGUCCCAGCCUGUAGCGGAGGAGAACCCUGCCGGCGACUUCAGCGCACUUCUCGAUUCAGCUUAUGAAAAAAGGAAAUGAUUCUUUCCAAAGUCAUUUGCACAACUUCCUUUUCUUUCUUUCUCUUUUUGUUUUGUUUUGGGUCCCCCACCCACCCACCCUUAGGGAUAGGAAGCUCCAGUCAGCCCGCUGCAUGGGGGGGGGGGGGCUGUUCUGGUGGCCAUGAGCAAAAACAUUGGUUUUGGCAAACUCGUAAGCACUUGGACAACUUGUUAUAAAACAAGUAAAGUUGGAGAAAAACUGCUCAGCGAGGUGGAGCUUUUAAAAAAAACGAAGCCAGGGACUGAGAGAUAGCCCUGCAGACGAAGGUGCUAGUAGACAAACAACGAUGUAAGUUAGAUCCCUGGAGCACACAAGGAAAGUUGCUCUCUGAUCUAAGAACUGUCAUAAUGGAGAUUAAAAAUCAAAAGUU